UAGUGAUUAGAGUUUGAUCCUGGCUCAGGAUGAACGUUGGCGGUGUGCCUAAUACAUGCAAGUCGAACGGAGACAGUAGCAAUAUUGUCUUAGUGGCGAACGGGUGAGUAACGCGUUGGUGACCUGCCCCGAAGUGUGGAAUAACAGUUCGAAAGAAUUGCUAAUACCGCAUGUGAUCUUUGAGAUUAGAACCUCUUUGAUUAAAGGAGUAAUUCGCUUCGAGAGGAGCCUGCGUCCCAUCAGCUAGUUGGUAAGGUAAUGGCCUACCAAGGCAAUGACGGGUAGGGGACCUGAGAGGGUGGCCCCCCACAAUGGAACUGAAACACGGUCCAUACACCUACGGGUGGCAGCAGUAGGGAAUAUUAGUAAUGGGCGAAAGCCUGAACUAGCGACACCGCGUGUGCGAAGAAGGCCUUCGGGUUGUAAAGCACUUUUAGAGAGGAUGAGGAAGGACGGUACUCUCUGAAUAAGUCUCGGCUAACUACGUGCCAGCAGCCGCGGUAACACGUAGGAGGCAAACGUUAUCCGGAUUUACUGGGCGUAAAGCGCGUGUAGGUGGUUCUGUAAGUAGGGCGUGAAAGCUCCUGGCUCAACUGGGAGAGGCCGUUCUAAACUGCAGAGCUAGAGGAUGGUAGAGGAAGGUGGAAUUCCGGGUGUAGCGGUGGAAUGCGCAGAUAUCCGGAGGAACACCAGUGGCGAAGGCGGCCUUCUGGACCAUUCCUGACACUCAGACGCGAAAGCUAGGGUAGCAAACGGGAUUAGAGACCCCGGUAGUCCUAGCCCUAAACGAUGUCGACUUGACGUCGGUGGCUUAAUCGUCAUCGGUGUCGUAGCUAACGCGAUAAGUCGACCGCCUGGGGACUACGGCCGCAAGGUUAAAACUCAAAGGAAUUGACGGGUCCCCGCACAAGCAGCGGAGCGUGUGGUUUAAUUCGUUGCUACACGAAGAACCUUACCUGGGUUUGACAUAGCAGUGGUAGGGAAGCGAAAGCGGACCGACCCUUCGGGGAGCUGUUACAGGUGUUGCAUGGCUGUCGUCAGCUCGUGUCGUGAGAUGUUCGGUUAAGUCCGCUAACGAGCGCAACCCUCGUGAUGUGUUACAAGUGUCACAUCAUACUGCCGGUAUUAAGUCGGAGGAAGGUGGGGAUGACGUCAAGUCAGCAUGACCUUUAUAUCCAGGGCUACACACACGCUACAAUGGUCUGUACAAUAGGUUGCCAAGCCGCGAGGCGGAGCCAAUCCUAAAAAGCAGGCCUCAGUUCAGAUUGCAGUCUGCAACUCGACUGCAUGAAGUUGGAGUUGCUAGUAAACGCAGGUCAGCUAUACUGCGUUGAAUACGUUCCCGGGGAUUGUACACG
rnacentral:rRNA from 1 species